rnacentral:lncRNA from 1 species
GGAAGGAGGGACAAAGAGAAACCAGAGCUGUGUGUGGGAUGAGGUUUGUUUCCUAAGCAGAAGUAGGCCGACUCUUACUGCUUUGGGUGCUCAUGUCCGCUGUUGCCUCUGCAGCACAUGCUGUUGGUGUGGUCAAGGCCACAGAGUAACCACGACGAUGAUGGCAUUGGUGGCGACGAUGAGGACCCAGUGACCACAUUCCUCGGCCCACCUGCCGGUCCGUGAGCUCUGUGACUGCCUCUGGCCAUGCUCUGUGAGCUGAGACAAUGUGUCAUGUCCGCAUCUCUCUUCCCCACUGUACGUGCCAAGGAGGCUGCAUUUUCCAGAAGGUGCAGCUAUGGAGGGUGUAGCUCCUGUUACCCUGGAUCUCAGAGGACCACGUGGAAGAUGGUCAGCCCAACGGAGUCGCUCAAAUUCAUCGACUUUGUGAGGCCCUUCACUCCGUAAAGCUUCUGUGACGCAUGGAGAAAACCUGUCCAGCUUUCAUUCUAGUGUGACAGUGAGAGACAGAUGAAAGCAGAGGUAACUUCUUUGUAAACAUGAAUGUGUAAAUUACAUCUGGUCGAGCAAAGGGAACAGGCAGCUGGCCACAAUGGAGGUGUCAUGACCAGUAGGUGUUCUUCAGGUGUGUAGGCAGGGAUGACCUUCAUAGAUGAGGGCCAGGGAGAACCGGGCAGUGGUCAUUCUCAUGAACAAAAGGUACUAGGAGCAGCCAAAAGCCCAAGGUCUCAGGAAACAGCAAUAUGUUCCUUUCUAUGUUCAGUGCAGAGCUGUCCACUAGCAUCUUCGCACUGGGUUCCAAGUCUUGGCUGCAUGGGUCAGUGAUGGCUCAGAGCCGUCUAAGUAAAUCUCAGCUUUCUCUAGACCCC